rnacentral:pre_miRNA from 1 species
CUACUACUCCCUCUGUUCGGAAUUACUUGUCUCGAAAAUGGAUGUAUCUAGAACUAAAAUAUGUCUAAAUACAUCCAUUUCUGCGACAAGUAAUUUCGAACGGAGAGAGUAGUAG